rnacentral:rRNA from 1 species
UACGUAGGGUGCGAGCGUUGUCCGGAAUCAUUGGGCGUAAAGAGCGUGUAGGCGGUUCGGUAAGUCGGCUGUGAAAGUCCAGGGCUCAACCCUGGGAUGCCGGUCGAUACUGCCGGACUAGAGUUCGGAAGAGGCGAGUGGAAUUCCCGGUGUAGCGGUGAAAUGCGCAGAUAUCGGGAGGAACACCUAUGGCGAAGGCAGCUCGCUGGGACGUUACUGACGCUGAUGCGCGAAAGCCAGGGGAGCGAACGGG